rnacentral:rRNA from 1 species
GGGGAGGAAAAGAAACUAACAAGGAUUCCUUUAGUAACGGCGAGUGAAACAGGAUGAGCUCACCUAUAAUCGGCAAUUUUUUGCCGAGUUGUGGUCUGUAGAAGCAUUGUCGGUCGAGGUUCCGGGCUAAGUCUCUUGGAAAAGAGCAGCUGAGAGGGUGACACUCCCGUUCUUGCCUGGGAUCUGCGAUCAUAGCACAUGCCUUCAACGAGUCGAGUUGCUUGGGAUUGCAGCUCAAAUGCGUGGUAUACUCCAUGUAAAGCUAAAUAUAGGUAGGAAACCGAUAGCGCACAAGUACUGUGAAGGAAAGAUGCAAAGAACUUUGAAAAGAGAGUUAAAGAGUACCUGAAACUGUUGAAAGGGAAGCAAAUGGAAACAGUGUGUUUCCGUACCAUUCUUCCUUCGUGGCUUGCCACGGGGGCGCUGUGGUGCGGGAGUGGUCAGCAUGGGUUUGACUCGGAGCAUAUAGCUAUUCAGGAGGCAUCUGUCUUUUCAGAGAUUACUGUUUAGUGUUGUUCUGGGUUGGAUCGAGGUUAGUAUUUCGUGAUGCUGACGAAAUGUUUCUAUUUACCCCGUCUUGAAACACGGACCAAGGAGUCUAACAUGUUCGCGAGUAUCUGAGUGGCAAACUCAUAUGCGCAAUGAAAGUAACAGUGGUAGGACCUUCUGGGGCACUAUCCGCCGGCAUUGAUCCUUCGGGAGAAAGGUCUGAGUGUGAGCAUACAUGUUGGGACCCGAAAGAUGGUGAACUAUGCCUGAAUAGGGUGAAGCCACCG